AGACGCCCGCGGCUCCCAGUGGCCAGCGCGGUCCGAAUCGACCCCAAGCUUGACCCGAGGGCAGCGGGGCCCCCGGGGAUGCCCGGCCAGGGCGGCGUCGCCGGCGUGAAUGGGGGAGGGGGCGGCCGGGGCAGGACCCGGGGCAGGGCCGCUCUGGUGGUCUCCUGCCCGCCCCUCCCCAAGCCCAGCUCCCGGCCUCCCUCCCUCUCCCCCGUCCAGGGCUGAGGACUGGGGAAGCUGAGUCCCGGGGCGGGUGUGGGGGGUGGGGCUUGGGAUGCAGCAGGGGACCCCGAAGCCACCAGCAGGGGAGAAGGCCCCGUGCCUGAGCCAGGCUCGCAGGAUGUUUAUCUCAGGAAAUGCAGAGGACCAGAACCAGGCAGGACCGGGCACUGGGACGGAGGCAGCUGUCUGCAGGGCGUUUACCGUAGAUAUGUAUCACCUGUUCUGAGACGGAGCCGGGGAGGCUGUUUUUAAUCAUCCGGGAGGUUGUAAAAUGUUUCCCGACGUUAUGAGGACAGCUGCUGGAAUAAUGAUGCAGGUAGCUGGCACACAUGUAGGGCAAAGGUUUCACCAGGCACGGUAUUCUAUGCCUGUCACCUGCCUUGGCAAGAUCAGUCCUUUGUGGCACGUCCAGGAUUUAAGCUUUGGACCACCAAUAAGGAGGGCGUUGGUCUGAGCCUGCUUUUCCAAAUGCCGUCUUCCCUUCUUGGGCUCAGGCAGGAGAUCCAACUAUGGGCACAGCAGGCCUUGGGAAGGCAACACAGGUUCACAGUGUGCUGAAGACGGAGAGAUGCAGGGGACUCAAACCCACCGGCCAAGGCACCACCCGCUUCUCCAGGUAAAGAGGAUUCAUUUUUCCUGUUUCCUCCUGGCCCAUGAUGUGAACAACUUGCCCCUUCGUCGUAAGCGCUCAGGUUGGUGAACAAUUCACCCACCAGCAUAUUCAAACCACGGCCAAACAGUGGCUGAAAAUGACAGCAAGCAGCCACUUAGCACAGGGAUCUGUCAGUGGGCUGGAUGUGACAGGGAGGAUUUGGCUCUGCGCCUGGGUCCAGGACCCUGAAUGGCAGUGGGGUUGGCUCUGCACCUGGGGCCCGGGACCCUGACUGGCGGUGGGGGCUGGAGGAAGCUGCGCUCAUUGGACGGCUCGGCA